AGCCUGGAGGGCUACAGUCCAUGGGGUUGCAAAGAGUCGGACAGGACUGAGUGACUUAGCACAGCACCCAGCACGUGAUGAAGGCUCCAUAAAACUCCCUGAGCGCUUCCAGCUCCCAUCACAGCCCACCCCUGAGAACGUGCUGCCCGGCAGCUGAGAGCACGGUUUGCACCAUGUGAAAACAAGAGUGAAACCCCCGGGGGCGGUCCGCUGAAGUAUGUGCAAAAUGAAAGAAGCCCUCCCCGAGGCCUGCAGAGUUUCUUCGUUCUCCUCUUCUAUCUGCAAAACACCAGAUUUCACUGCUGCCAGAGAAAAAUACUGGGGUCAGCGUUGGCCCCUGGGCCCUCCCAAAUGGAUCAUCCUUCGAGUUAGUCACAAUAGCCUUGCACACACUCCUGUAUUUCACAGGAUCCCAGCAGUGCUGCUGCCCCUAAAGAGGUGUGUGGUCUCCAGGUCACCAGGCCUACAGCCAUGUACAGCAGCCGCCUGUCUGCACCCUAUCCGGAAAUGUGUGGUCUCGGCUGGUUUCCUCCUGAAUCCUUGAAGCGCCCACUCAGCCUCUGCCUGAUGCUUCGGCUCCCAUGCAGUUUGCUGAAGUCACCCUGCUGAAGGGCGUCAGAGCUGGAGGACAGGUGGCCCCGGGCCUCCCACUCCCGCCCCGCGGUGCCGCCUGAUGCUUCGACAGCCGCCUCUUCCAGAACCAGUGGACACGCUCGCUCCGUGGUUUCCAUGACACCGCACUUUCCCACGUCUCCUCUGGAUUUCUGACAGCUCGUUUCCUUGCUGGCCGGUGUGGUCUCCUCCCGGCUUCUCGUCGUGGGAGUGUCCAGGGCGCUGCCCUCGGCUCUUACCCCAACGGGUGCCCACUGCCUCCUCUGGAGGGCUCUCCUCCUGGUGGCCUGGCGCCACCUGCCACCACUGUGGCCCCUGGGGCCUUGGCUACCCACGGUCCCCAAUCCCACACGGCCAGCAUUCACAGAACUUCUUGUCCUACCUCCUAUGA